AUUCGUCUUGUCUGGACAGAACUGUUACUCGCUGUACCUUGUUAGUGCGCAUGAGUAAAAACAAGGCGCAUGCGCACGUUAAGGUGGUGGCACUUUUGCCAGGAUCAAAAAUGGCGGUGAUUGCUGCGUUGGGUCACGUGACGGUGGAUCUCGGAUUUGAUUGGUGGGUUCUCUGUCGGCAUGCGCCUUAUUUGUGUUGCUGCGUAGUUUGUUCUGACAGGCAUAAAUAUUGUAAAAUAAAGUCAUAUUACAUUCAAUAAGUAUUAGAUAAAUGUUAUAAAUAAAUAUGGAUUUUAAUUAAAUAACAUUUUUUAAUAAAUUCCUGAAACAUUUAAGCAUCUAAUUUUUAAAAUGCAUUAUACAAGCUGUUAAGUGUGUGUGUGUGUGUGUGUGUGAGUGUGUGUGUGUGUGUGAGUGUGAGAGAGUGUGUGUGUGUGAGUGAGAGUGUGUGUGUGUGAGUGAGUGUGUGUAUGAGAGUGUGUGUGUGUGUGUGUGUGUGUGUGAGUGAGUGUGAGUGAGUGAGUGUGUGUAUGAGAGUGAGUGUGUGAGUGUGUGUGUAUGAGAGUGUGUGUGUGAGAGUGUGUGUGAGUGUGUGCGAGAGUGUGUGUGUGUGUGUGUGUGUGAGAGUGUGUGUGUGUGUGUGAGUGAGUGUGUGUGUGUGUUUAAGUUUAAUCAUUACACAUCUUUCUCUAAUCCCAUAAUCAACACUAAAUAUUUGCGUGUUGCAUUUAAAAUAACUUACAGUGACAAAAUUCUUAGAUAAUUUCUUCUCGCCUCUGCAGUGAGCCCUUGUGGCUUCAUGUCUGGCUGGUGGGUUUGUGCUUGUGGUGUAAACAGGAAAAUGAGCUACAGAACUAAACAGGAAACAUAGUGUACUAGAGAUACACGUGACAGAAGGUACUUUGUUCACUGACAGGUGGUAAACAGCACAAAUCUAGUGGUAUGAGGACUUAAAGAAAUGAAGCUCAGUUUAAAGCAAUUUGGAUUGUAUUCAAGAGAAAUACGUUUCAGCUACACUAAAGUGAUCUGCAAGACAGGACCGGUGGAUGAUGUGGGAUCCGCGCUCCGUCUCGUUCUCCUUAUUACCGAGCACGUCCUGCCGAGGUGUGAGAGACAUGGACACUUUUUGUCACGGAUGAUUUUGAAUCCCAGCGUCCUAACAGGCAGCAUGUCAACAUCACCGAGGGAGGACGGAGGGAGGAUUAAAGAGGAAGACGAAGAAACAGACACGAUGAACAGAGGGCUCUAGCUAUCUGACUAAUAAACACAAGCUGAGCUGAGCUACACAAAAGUACUAAACUGUACCUUCCCUUUAAUAUUUCACAGAUAUAAUGAAGAAUUACGAUACAUAACAGGACUGUAAAUGCACACCUAUAAAAUGACACCUGAUACAUAUCAUGAGGUUCAAACUGUGCAAAAGAUUAGAAAAGGUACAGUACAGGUUUUUCACCUGAGAAAAUAUUUUAAAAUACAGUUUUAAACACAUAUGUUUAAUAAAUACUGUAUAAAAUCAUUUUAAAAUA